CAACCCUCGAACCCCUCCGGGGGGUCGGCGUUGGGGAUCGGCCCUCCCUUAGCGGGUGGCCGUCUCCGAAAUACAGUGGCGGUCUCGCCGCAGCCUCUCCUGCGCAGUAGUUUGCACACUCGCAUCGGGAGCGCGGCGCGUCCACAGCCGUUAAACACCCAACUUCUGAAA
rnacentral:misc_RNA from 2 species